UACGUGAGGGGCGAACGUUGUUCGGUGUCACUGGGCUUAAAGGGUGCGUAGGUGGUUCUGUAAGUAAGGUGUGAAAUCCCUCGGCUUACCCGGGGAAUUGCAUUUUAUACUGCAGGACUUGAGGACCAAAGGGGAAAAGGGGAACUCCAGGUGUAGCGGUGAAAUGCGCAGAUAUCUGGGGGAAGGCCGGCGGCGAAGGCGCUUUUCUGGUUGGUACCUGACACUGAGGCACGAAAGCGUGGGGAGCAAACAGG
rnacentral:rRNA from 1 species